rnacentral:misc_RNA from 1 species
UGACAGAAACUGAUUAACUGAAGAAACAUAAACAAAUCAAGUACAGUUAACUCGCUGGAUUGAUAUCUGAAGCAGUUCUACAUUCAGAACUAAUAACAGAGUAAGUAAAGACUCGACCGAUAUGCAUGCAGGCACUCAAGAACGAACGAUGUGUUCGUGCAUGCGUGCUGCAUGCAUGCAAAGCUAGCACGUCGUUACACCGUACGCGCGUUACGUAGCUUAAGCACAGAUGAAGCCACUAGGGACGUUCUUGCCGCAGUAGUUGACGAGGAGGCUGAGCUUGACGGGGAUGUCGAGGGUGAUGCCGAGCACGUUGGCCUUGAUGGCGGUGCAGAGACAGACGGCGGCCUCAAGGUCGGCGAGGCCGCCGAGGACGCCGCAGCACGGCUCGUACGGCGGCUGGCCGACCUCGGCGCUGACGAGGCCCAGCACGUCGGCGCACGCCGCGAACUUGAGCGCGUUCUUGGGGCACUUGGUGUUGUAGGACGGCGUCGAUGGCGUCGUCGACGGCGUCGAAGGCGUCGGGCAGUACUUGCCGCAGGCGCUGGCCACGGUGAAGAAGAGGACCAGGUUUAGAGCCACGAGGAGGAAUGCCCUGGAAGCCAUGGCUACGCUAGCUGAAAGCGUACAAGCACUUGCGCCGUUGCACACAGGGCUACGUAAG